rnacentral:rRNA from 1 species
GAUGAACGCUGACAGAAUGCUUAACACAUGCAAGUCAACCUGAAUUUGGGUUUUUAACUUCGAUUUGGAUGGCGGACGGGUGAGUAACGCGUAAAGAACUUGCCUCACAGCUAGGGACAACAUUUGGAAACGAAUGCUAAUACCUAAUAUUUAGAUAAUAGGGCAUCCUAUAAUUAUGAAAGCUAAAAGCGCUGUGAGAGUGCUUUGCGACCCAUUACUUUGUUGGGUAGGUAACGGCUCACCAAGGCAAUGAUGCGUAGCCGGCCUGGGAGGGUGAUCGGCCCCAAGGGGAACGAGAGACAGCACUUGCGCAUCCUGGGGGAAGGAGGGAAGAAUGUUGGAGCAUGGCCCGGGAGGUUGAUCAAGCAAUUCUGUGUGAACAAUGAAGUUUUUCGGAAUGUAAAGUGCUUUCAGUUGGGACGAAACAAAUGACGGUACCAACAGAAGAAGUGACGGCUAACUACGUG